rnacentral:rRNA from 1 species
CCCGCUGAACUUAAGCAUAUCAAUAAGCGGAGGAAAAGAAACUAACAAGGAUUCCCCUAGUAACGGCGAGUGAAGCGGGAUGAGCUCAAAUUUAAAAUCUGGCUGGUUUACUAGUCCGAAUUGUAGUUUAUAGAAGCGUUUUCGGUGGCAGCCUGGGUAUAAAUCCUUUGGAAUAGGGUAUCAUAGAGGGUGAGAAUCCCGUCUUUGACUCAGUGCAUGCUACUAUGUGAUACGUUUUCAAAGAGUCGAGUUGUUUGGGAAUGCAGCUCGAAAUGGGUGGUAAAUUUCAUCUAAGGCUAAAUAUUGGCGAGAGACCGAUAGCGAACAAGUACCGUGAGGGAAAGAUGAAAAGAACUUUGAAAAGAGAGUUAAACAGUGCGUGAAAUUGUUGAAAGGGAAACGUUUGACACCAGUUAUGCGGGUGGAAAAUCAGUCUUUUGCAGUGGGGAGUUGUGGGCGUUCAGACCGCAAGGCUGGCGUUUGCUUCAUCUUUGUUGUAAGUGAUGCACUUUUUCAUUUGCAGGUCAACAUCAGUUUGCUUUGCUGGACAAAACCCCAAGGGAAGGUGGCAGCUUAGGCUGUGUUAUAGCCCUGGGGCGAUACAGUGGAGUGGACUGAGGUUUCGCAGUGUGUGCUCUCGGGCAAGGCUGACUGGGUGCUAUGGGAUCGUUCGGCGUACAAUGCAUGCAUUUUGCGUCGUGUCUUUUUCAUACUCGCUCAACACGGCUCUUCCACACUUAGGAUGUUGACUUAAUGGUUUUAAACGACCCGUCUUGAAACACGG